AUCAGCCUUCUGUAAAUGUCUUGAGAGUCUACGUCAAUUACUACUUUGUUGUGGCCCAUUGCAAUGACAGAAGAGAUUUCUCCAUUUACCUCAAUAUAAUAAAAUUAUAAAGUAACCAUCCUUUUAAGAGGUCCUGCAGGUCCUGCCAAAGCACUGUCCCACUCUGUUGGAAGCAGAGAUCUCCUACCACUAAGUGCACCCAUGAGGGCACAUCCUACGCAAUCUGAGCCGGUCUUUCAGAGUUAAAGUGGUAGCUGGAGACAGACAUUUGGCUUCAUGACUGAUCAUCAAGAUUGACUCUAAUCCUACCAUGUCAUUUAGCCUGGCUUGUGGAUUUUUCAGACAGCUCCUUUUUUUUCCUCCCCAAACAGAUGUUGAAGGCUGGAUCUGGAUGAGGAGUGUGUACUGAGAAAUGGGCAAACCAGCUACAUUCCAUUCAACUGCAUAUUUUGGAGAAACAGAGAACUGCAUAAGAAUUGCAAGCCCUGGAAACAGUAACACCUAAGCCAGGCUGUAUCCCAUGAGCUGCUUCUGUCAUUAGCAAGGAAAAUCAUCUCAAACCAGCAGUGCUUCUUUGUUGUACCUUUACCCCUUUGAGGCUAACAUAGGAAUUGUCCUAACUCACAUUUUAACCACUUUAAAUUUAGUAACCACUCCAGUAUUGCAAGUGGUUGCUCUGGAAAUCUUAAAAUUAAGUAGCUGGUCUCAUGUAUGGAUUAUAACCCAGUUCAGCAGUUUGCAUGAAGAGCCUGUCAUGGAUGUGCUUCUGUCAUGUAAUGACCUUUAAAAUAGCUGGCAGGCUUUGAGAUUUUUUUUUUUCCUAGUAGCAGAGUUCUGCAUGCCAGCCACACUUUUCCAUUUGAAACUGAACCUACAGUGGCUGGAAACUUGAACAGGUAAAUCCAGUGUUUUGAUAGAUCUGUCAGAGAUGGAGGAGAGAUGCAACUGAAAUGAAAUAAUUUUUCCCUAGCCAAACUAAAGAGCUAAGCUGAUCCAAUCUAUGCUUUCCUGGGACAGACUCUCAUGUGAAAUACAAUAUUUUUCUCUUAGCCAAAGCAUUUUAUUGCCUAUAUAAAAGAUCACUAUAACUAUGCAUACUGUUUCAUUUAAAAUUUGGCUUUCUGCUACAGAUAAACAAGACCAACACAGAAAUGGUCUUUCUGCAUUCCACUGCAAAGGCAAUGCAGUCAGAGCACAUGAAAGUUCUACUUUAAGACUGCUAGGCAGGGUGGUAAGAUAGAAAUCUCAUUUAUCUACUCUAGUUCCCUGCUCUAAAACCAAAACUGGAUAAUGCAAAGCAGGUUUUUCCUAGAAGACCUCCAUCAUUCCAAAGCCUUUCCAAACACUGCUGAAGAACAUCAUCCCUUCACCCUGAAAGAGUUGCUGAGGUUUUUUGCUUGUACUACCUGACCAUUCCUUGCUGCACCUUGAACUGUUUUUUCUUCUGUGCACAGGGAUACCCUCUUUGCAGUAGCAGUGAUGGUAUUUGGACAGUUAUCAUGGUCACACUUUUGGCUUAUGGCCUUUGUCU